rnacentral:ncRNA from 2 species
CUCUUAUCCCGAGAGGUGGAGGGACUGGCCCAAUGAAACCCAGCAACCAUCCGGUAGUACCCGGACUGGUGCUAAUUCCUGCAGAAGAUUAACUUCUGACAGAUAAGAG